CACGAACUUCGAAAGGCUCUGCUUUGUUUGUAUUCUGAGCUUAUGCUGUGACCUGUGAAGAGCUUCUAUGUGGGUCUGCAUGUUCGCUGCACACAAAAAGCACGAGGCACAGGUGGUGUCAGAGCCCACUGGACACCCGAUGCCAGGUCCAGAGGAACAGCAGCAGCCAAAAGUUGCACCACAUAGAUCUGACCCCUGGAACCAAGACCUGAGAGCAUUUCCAACAAACAGUGUGAGGUUCUACUGGGAGAGAAGAGCAUCUAGUCCACCAUGCUUCCGGAAGUCAGCUUCAUGUCCUCAUGUUCUGACCCUGCAAUAAAGUCAAACAUUCCUGAGCUAGCAACAAAGCUGGGUAGUUUUCCUGGAAUACCCAUUGCUCAUCUCUACCCACAACUACAGGAAAGGAAGGUGAGGAAAGCAGCGGACACUGCAAUCUCCAGAAAUAGUCUUGGCAUUUGUCUGCUGAGAUGCUCCAAGUCGCAUGGCCCGGGGGCCACUUCCCAGUGAGGCGGCCACCACCACUCCCAUCUGGAGCAGAGGCAGGCGGCUCCCAGCGUCCUGAGGCCCCCAGUGUGGGCAGGCUACUGCGCAAGUGGACAUUCCAGUAAUUGUAGCACUGUUUGUGCAGGAGAAGGAGGACGAAGCAUUUCAGUAAUAAGAAAAGGAGAGGGAAAAUCAAUGAGGAUGUGUGUAAUGAAUUUUUGUUUCCUGAAAUAGCUCGGCAGGAGCCUUGCCAGGAAGAAUUAGGACUAAUCAGGGACAAGAUGAGAGACACAAAUCCGAGAUCAUUAUUCAGUUCUGCAGCCCUCCUGGGUGGCAGAAUGUCAGCGUCAGGACUCCCGGCAGGAG
rnacentral:lncRNA from 1 species